rnacentral:rRNA from 1 species
UACGUAGGGUGCAAGCGUUAAUCGGAAUUACUGGGCGUAAAGCGUGCGCAGGCGGUUAUGGAAGACAGAUGUGAAAUGCCCGGGCUUAACCUGGGAACUGCAUUUGUGACUGCAUGGCUAGAGUUUGGCAGAGGGGGGUAGAAUUCCACGUGUAGCAGUGAAAUGCGUAGAUAUGUGGAGGAACACCGAUGGCGAAGGCAGCCUCCUGGGCCAGCACUGACGCUCAUGCACGAAAGCGUGGGGAGCAAACAGG